rnacentral:lncRNA from 1 species
AAUAAAACAUUUAUAAAACAAAUCAUAUUUGUUAAUUCAUCUAUAAAUAAAGCACAUGGUGUCCAAUUUUCGUGUACCUUACAGGGUUUCUCGUUUAUGGGUAAAGAUAGAAAGGGGCGGUUUUCACAUUACUAUGUUACUUUUUAUGAAACUAAAGAUGAUACACAUAAAUUUCUUUUAGCCAUCUUAGUUCCUGAAAUACAGGGCGAAUUUGAAAUUGUUGCAUUUUUAGACUAUCCUUGUAUCUCGGUUGUCUAACUUAUUGUCAAGCUACGUGUGGCGACAUCUGUCGGAUAAGCGAGAAGCUACAACCGCAACGUGUAUUGUUGGUUGACGACAUUGAUUGAGACACCACCUCUUAGCCAAGUAGAACAGCGGGUUCUAACUUCUAACCAAACAGUAGAAUUUACUGGUAGAUGGCAGAAGGGUAUCGAAAAUUAUAGAGAAUAGCUAAGAAUAGCGAACGUUCCAGAAACAGUCGCUACGAUAUAUACGAUAUAUAAAAAGAGCGCGCUCGGCAGUUGGGCAGUUAAGUUUUGUAGUUUGAAAAAUAUGGUUAAAUUGUGAAUCGUGACAAUUUGGCCAAGGAUUUUAUAAAUGGUUAAUUGUGUGUUGUAAUCAGUAUAAAUUGUGUGUAUAUAGUGAGAGAACAAAUUUGUUAAGUAUUUUAUCGUGAGUUUAAAUUAGUGGACCCACGGAAUCCGUAACAUUAUCAAAAAGGAAGAAGGCUAAGUCUCUGUGUAGCAUCUUUAUUUUCAUAAAAAAGUAGCCCAGUCAUGAGUCCAGUGAUAUGAAAACGAAAACCGCUUCUUUGUAUCUCUAAUCAUAGACGAGAAACCCCCUAAAACACACGAAAAUGGGACACCCUGUACAGAGCACAUUUGAAGUAAAACAGUGGAUUAUAUUUCACGCAGUUUGCAAUAAGGGUUGGGAUUUUUUUUCGUAAAUAACACCUGUUUACAAACCUAUCGAUCCAAAUAAAGCAUGUCAUUUUAUUUUAACGAAGGUGCAGAUGUAAUAGAUAAAGCAAAAAAAGAGGAAAAAGAUGAAGAUCAACAAUGAUGCAGACGUUGGAGAUUUUGUUUUUCUAUAUGUUUCAGCUACGCAUAAAAAAUGUUUUUCUUUUGUCAGAUUUUAUAUUUUUUUAUGAAAUAACUAUAAAAUAGGCUUUGAGACAUUUAUAGACAAUUUUUUCAGAUUUGUUGCUUGCUUUUCAUAAAUUAAAACAAUGGGUAUGAGGUGGUAUAUACAUAUAACGUUUCUGGCAUUUUUGGAUACUUUUCUUGACUGGCAAGCUUUAACCAGAAAAUUCGCAGAGUAUAGUUAUGUUGGCUGAAAAUUUUGUAAGCCUUAAAACUCUAAAUAACACUAUUUUGUCUCUACAGGGUGAAUCUUAAAUAAGCGCAUGUAAUUUUAGGGGUCGUAGAUCUCGAUAAAAGAAACAUAUUUUGUCUUGAUUUUGUUUUGAAAAUAUAAAAAAAUGAUUUUUUGUUUAAAUUUUGAAAACCACUAAAUCUUUUCUGGAUGUUCUUUCUUGUAAAAAUAAUCUACUAUCUAUGAUGCCAUGUUAUGAAAAUAUUAUGUUUUUUUUACUAAAAAUUAAAAACAAAUCCAAAUUU